rnacentral:rRNA from 1 species
UUGAACGCUGGCGGCAGGCCUAACACAUGCAAGUCGAGCGGUAGCACAGAGAGCUUGCUCUCGGGUGACGAGCGGCGGACGGGUGAGUAAUGUCUGGGAAACUGCCUGAUGGAGGGGGAUAACUACUGGAAACGGUAGCUAAUACCGCAUAAUGUCGCAAGACCAAAGUGGGGGACCUUCGGGCCUCAUGCCAUCAGAUGUGCCCAGAUGGGAUUAGCUAGUAGGUGGGGUGACGGCUCACCUAGGCGACGAUCCCUAGCUGGUCUGAGAGGAUGACCAGCCACACUGGAACUGAGACACGGUCCAGACUCCUACGGGAGGCAGCAGUGGGGAAUAUUGCACAAUGGGCGCAAGCCUGAUGCAGCCAUGCCGCGUGUGUGAAGAAGGCCUUCGGGUUGUAAAGCACUUUCAGCGGGGAGGAAGGCGUUAAGGUUAAUAACCUUGGCGAUUGACGUUACCCGCAGAAGAAGCACCGGCUAACUCCGUGCCAGCAGCCGCGGUAAUACGGAGGGUGCAAGCGUUAAUCGGAAUUACUGGGCGUAAAGCGCACGCAGGCGGUCUGUCAAGUCGGAUGUGAAAUCCCCGGGCUCAACCUGGGAACUGCAUUCGAAACUGGCAGGCUAGAGUCUUGUAGAGGGGGGUAGAAUUCCAGGUGUAGCGGUGAAAUGCGUAGAGAUCUGGAGGAAUACCGGUGGCGAAGGCGGCCCCCUGGACAAAGACUGACGCUCAGGUGCGAAAGCGUGGGGAGCAAACAGGAUUAGAUACCCUGGUAGUCCACGCCGUAAACGAUGUCGAUUUGGAGGUUGUGCCCUUGAGGCGUGGCUUCCGGAGCUAACGCGUUAAAUCGACCGCCUGGGGAGUACGGCCGCAAGGUUAAAACUCAAAUGAAUUGACGGGGGCCCGCACAAGCGGUGGAGCAUGUGGUUUAAUUCGAUGCAACGCGAAGAACCUUACCUGGUCUUGACAUCCACAGAACUUUCCAGAGAUGGAUUGGUGCCUUCGGGAACUGUGAGACAGGUGCUGCAUGGCUGUCGUCAGCUCGUGUUGUGAAAUGUUGGGUUAAGUCCCGCAACGAGCGCAACCCUUAUCCUUUGUUGCCAGCGGUUCGGCCGGGAACUCAAAGGAGACUGCCAGUGAUAAACUGGAGGAAGGUGGGGAUGACGUCAAGUCAUCAUGGCCCUUACGACCAGGGCUACACACGUGCUACAAUGGCAUAUACAAAGAGAAGCGACCUCGCGAGAGCAAGCGGACCUCAUAAAGUAUGUCGUAGUCCGGAUUGGAGUCUGCAACUCGACUCCAUGAAGUCGGAAUCGCUAGUAAUCGUAGAUCAGAAUGCUACGGUGAAUACGUUCCCGGGCCUUGUACACACCGCCCGUCACACCAUGGGAGUGGGUUGCAAAAGAAGUAGGUAGCUUAACCUUCGGGAGGGCGCUUACCACUUUGUGAUUCAUGACUGGGGUG